rnacentral:rRNA from 1 species
CAGUAGCCACGGUAAUACGUAGGUGGCAAGCGUUGUCCGGAAUUAUUGGGCGUAAAGGGCUCGCAGGCGGUUUCUUAAGUCUGAUGUGAAAACCCCCGGCUCAACCGGGGAGGGUCAUUGGAAACUGGGAAACUUGAGUGCAGAAGAGGAGAGUGGAACUCCACGUGUAGCGGUGAAAUGCGUAGAGAUGUGGAGGAACACCAGUGGCGAAGGCGACUCUCUGGUCUGUAACUGACGCUGAGGAGCGAAAGCGUGGGGAGCGAACAGGAUUAGAUACCCGGGUAGUCCCUGUCUCUUAUAC